rnacentral:rRNA from 1 species
CCCCUAGAUGUUCUGGGCCGCACGCGCGCUACACUGAACAGUUCAACAAGUCUUAACCUUGGCCGAUAGGUCUGGGUAAUCUUUGAACGCUGUUCGUGAUUGGGAUAGACCUUUGCAAUUAUGGGUCUUCAACGAGGAAUUCCUAGUAAACGCAAGUCAUCGGCUUGCAUUGAUUACGUCCCUGCCCUUUGUACACACCGCCCGUCGCACCUACCGAUUGAAUGGUCCGGUGAAAUCUCGGGACGGCGGCUCGGUCGCUUGCGUCCGACUGCUGAAACUUGAUUAAACCAUAUCAUUUAGAGGAAGGUGAAGUCGUAACA